CCUCUCUACAGAAAUUCUGGAGGGGGGUGUCCAGAUCGUCAACAACAGGUUCCUGAGCUAUGGUCCCUGGGUGAACUGGGAUGACAUUGUGAGGGACAGGGAUAGGGCCAAGGCUCCCAUUGACAUCCAGUAUAACGGUCAGAGAGGGCCUUGUCACCCUUCCUGUGGGGAGAACUGCUGGGGGUCUGGUGAAGAACACUGCCAGAUCUUGACUAAGACGGUGUGCGCC